rnacentral:rRNA from 1 species
CAGCAGCCGCGGUAAUACGAAGGGUGCAAGCGUUAAUCGGAAUUACUGGGCGUAAAGCGCGCGUAGGUGGUUCAUUAAGUUGGAUGUGAAAGCCCUGGGCUCAACCUGGGAACUUCAUCCAAAACUGGUGAGCUAGAGUACGGUAGAGGGUAGUGGAAUUUCCUGUGUAGCGGUGAAAUGCGUAGAUAUAGGAAGGAACACCAGUGGCGAAGGCGACUACCUGGACUGAUACUGACACUGAGGUGCGAAAGCGUGGGGAGCAAACAGGAUUAGAUACCCCCGUAGUCCCUGUCUCUUAUAC